GACAGAGGUCCCGAGCGUUAGGCGGAAUCACUGGGCUUAAAGCGUGUGUAGGCGGAUGCCUAAGUACCUUGUGAAAUCCCACGGCUCACCCGUGGAACUGCUUGGUAUACUGGGUGUCUUGAGCCACUUAGGGGCUACCGGAACAAAUGGUGGAGCGGUGAAAUGCUUAGAUAUGACAUAGAACACCAAUUGCGAAGGCAGCUCGCUACACGAAGAUUGACUCUGAGGCACGAAAGCGUGGGGAUCAAACAGG
rnacentral:rRNA from 1 species